UGACCGUGUCGGCACGUGAGUGGUGACGUACUCGCAUGCGUCGGCGGGCUCCCUGCUAUAGUGCAGCCAACCGUCGCCGCUGCAG
rnacentral:misc_RNA from 1 species